GAUGAACGCUGGCGGCGUGCUUAACACAUGCAAGUCGAACGAUGAUCCGGUGCUUGCACCGGGGAUUAGUGGCGAACGGGUGAGUAACACGUGAGUAACCUGCCCUUGACUCUGGGAUAAGCCUGGGAAACUGGGUCUAAUACCGGAUAUGACUGACUAUCGCAUGGUGGUUGGUGGAAAGCUUUUGCGGUUUUGGAUGGACUCGCGGCCUAUCAGCUUGUUGGGGGGUAAUGGCCUACCAAGGCGACGACGGGUAGCCGGCCUGAGAGGGUGACCGGCCACACUGGGACUGAGACACGGCCCAGACUCCUACGGGAGGCAGCAGUGGGGAAUAUUGCACAAUGGGCGCAAGCCUGAUGCAGCGACGCCGCGUGA
rnacentral:rRNA from 1 species